rnacentral:rRNA from 1 species
UAGGCGUAAAUGAUGCGAGUUAAGUGUGGGGGCAUCUACGAGAUGGCCCUGUGCUGUAGGGUAGCCGUUAAACUCGCUGCCUGGGGAGUACGGUCGCAAGGCUGAAACUUAAAGGAAUUGGCGGGGAGCACCACAACGGGUGGAGCCUGCGGUUUAAAUUGGACUCAACGCCGGGAAGCUCACCGGAUAAGACAGCGGAAUGAUUGCCGGGCUGAAGACCCUGCAUGACCAGCUGAGAGGUGGUGCAUGGCGUAGACGUCU